UACAGAGCAGGGAACUGAGAAGUUUCUUUUGUCUUUGUUAUUUUAGUGUAUUGUUUUUGCCUGGAACCUGUGAGGGGUGAAGGUGUCCGUUUAUUUUAUUAAGUGUUUGUGUGAGUGCGCUCUUUCUGUCCAUGUGACAGACAACGGUGUUGCCUGGUACUGCCACAUCUCCCUCCUGGUGCAUACACCUUUAAAUCACUCUGAACUCUGCUCAGGAGCAUCUGCUCAAUGGUGGGGAAAACAGAAGCACUAAUUUCAGCACAAGCAGGAGACUUGCUGGUGAUCAACUGAUACGGGGCUCCAAUUCCACUCUGCAAUCAAGACCUUCCUAAACUUAAGACCUUCCGGUUAACCCUGUGUUAGUACAGUACUUUGGAAACCUGUCAUAAGAGGCUUAAUACAGAGCUUUGUCUAAUCUGGUUUUCACUAGCAUUUUAUUGAUUGAGAGUUAAACCAGUAAAGAGAAUUAAACCAGAUGAACACUGUUCACCCUCACAGGAUCCUGGUUAAGGUAACAAAUUUAAACAAAAAAAGUGAAAAUAAACCAAAAGAAAAUGAAGGCUUUCAGCAGGGUUCUUCUUUCUCAGUCUUUCUCUGCAUGACUCCAGGUCACAGCCACCUCCUAUGGAAAGAAGCACACUUAAGCCAUGGGCUGAUUUGGUAACGGACCCAGGUGUGUGUGCCUACUUAACCUGUGGGUGUGGCCCCAAACUGCCCCAAUUCCCUCUCACAGACAGAACCCUGCCACUGACUUGCUUUUCUAGAUGUUAUGAACUAAGCUCAAACAAAUGUAACAAGGGUAGUAAUCAAGCAUUACAUUAUACAGUGCCUUGAUUAAAAUGUUUUGUCAUUGAAAAGAAAUAUAUAUAAUUUUUUUCUCAGUUGCCAAGCAUAUUUUCACACUUUACAUAAAUGCAUGGAAACCAGUUGUGAUGUAUAUGAUGACUGAUCUAAGGGUCUAAAAAUAUUAUUUUGAUUAUACCAUUCAGUCCUAACCCUAGCCAUGUUCCAACAUAAAUAGUCUCAUACGUUCCUUAUAGGACAUGCAUUUCUGUCAGACAACCAGGCCACAAGUGAUAAGACAUGUAUUUAUGCAUACAUCUCAGCUUCUUGUAAAAUGCAUACAUUGUGAACUGAUUAAAUGGAAAUAAAAUUAACUCAUGUUGCACAGCGUUGUUUGGACACAUCCCAAGGGGAAUUA